AGCGAACGCUGGCGGCAGGCUUAACACAUGCAAGUCGAGCGGGCCCUUCGGGGUCAGCGGCGGACGAGUGAGUAACGCGUGGGAACGUGCCUUCUGGUCUGGAAUAACCCUGGGAAACUAGGGCUAAUACCGGAUACGCCCUUUUGGGGAAAGGUUUACUGCCGGAAGAUCGGCCCGCGUCUGAUUAGCUAGUUGGUGGGGUAACGGCCUACCAAGGCGACGAUCAGUAGCUGGUCUGAGAGGAUGAUCAGCCACACUGGGACUGAGACACGGCCCAGACUCCUACGGGAGGCAGCAGUGGGGAAUAUUGGACAAUGGGCGCAAGCCUGAUCCAGCCAUGCCGCGUGAGUGAUGAAGGCCUUAGGGUUGUAAAGCUCUUUUAUCCGGGACGAUAAUGACGGUACCGGAGGAAUAAGCCCCGGCUAACUUCGUG
rnacentral:rRNA from 1 species